UUUCCGUAGGUGAACCUGCGGAAGGAUCAUUAACACGUUAUCCACGUAUUACCAACGAGAAUUGUUUUCACACUCUCCUCUAGAGAAUAAAUUGAACAGCUUGCUUAGAGUUAUUGAAUGGGUGUUGCUUCGGCCUCAGGCUCUACUCGCUACCUAUAGACUUAACACUCUAUUAACAAUUGUAUCUCAAUAUGAGGACUUCCUCUCUUCAGGCGUGUCUCCAUUCAUUGAUGCGCAGGAAGGGAACUAUACUUUACCAAUUUCACAAACACUUUUGCUAGUUGACUUUUUAUAUGUUGUUUAUUUCGUUUCGGCGAGUGGACACACGUUUAAUUAUUUGAACGUUAAAAAUACAACUCUUAGCAAUGGAUAUCUAGGUUCUCGCAUCGAUAAGAACGCAGC
rnacentral:misc_RNA from 1 species